rnacentral:rRNA from 1 species
CCCUUAGAUGUCCUGGGCCGCACGCGCGCUACACUGAACGGAUCAGCGCGUUUUCCCUUCCCGAGAGGGACGGGUAACCUGCUGAACCCCGUUCGUGGUAGGGAUCGGGGCUUGCAAUUAUUCCCCGUGAACCAGGAAUGCCCAGUAAGUGCAAGUCAUAAGCUUGCGUUGAUUACGUCCCUGCCCUUUGUACACACCGCCCGUCGCUACUACCGAUUGAACGUUUUAGUGAGGUACUCGGACUGAGCCUCAGAAGAUUCACGUCUUUUGUGCUGCUCGGGAAGAUUCCCAAACUUGAGCGUCUAGAGGAAGUAAAAGUCGUAACA